GGACGAUAUAUAACAGUACCUUAUGGACACACUACAUCCCUUGCUAAUAAUCAUGAUAUAAUGAUGGAAAUUCUAAGGUCUACAUGUUCCAAGGUUCUUGAAAACCAUAAUAUAACAUAUUAUGUGGGAACAACAGCUAACUAUUUUUACAAUUUUUCAGGUAAUAUGGCAGACUGGGUAAAAUUUAAGUUAAACACGCCAAUUGUGUACACUGUAUACUUAGAAGAUGAAAAUACAGUACUUCCUCUUCCGAGC